AUGACACCUCAAGAAGGGCACCAGAGAGUCGGAGAAAAUGUUACCAAGGGUAAACCUGAUAUGCAUGAAGCAAUUGAUUCACCUUGCUACUCGCCUAUCGAACCGGGCAGGUAUGGUGAUCUUGCUAAACCAAUGGAAGGGUCUAAUUUGCUAAAUUAUCCAUCAAAUUUUGACGUGCUGCUGGAAAACUAUAUAAACCUUCUAGGAGAUCUUUCAAGGAAGAUCAUGAAAGGUGUAGCCUUGGCACUGGGUGCGCCGUUGGCUGCUUUCGAAGGUGGAACAGCGGGAGAUGCUUUCUGGGUUCUCAGGUUGAUUGGCUAUCCAGUCUCAGCUGACAUCCUACAAGAGGAACGCACUGAUAUUGGAUGUGGAGCUCACACAGAUUAUGGCUUUUUGACACUGGUGAAUCAGGACGAUGAUAUCUGCGCUCUUGAGGUCAGAAACCAGUCUGGUGAGUGGAUAUACGCCAAGCCCGUCCCCGGGACCUUCAUUUGCAACAUCGGAGACAUGCUGAAGGUUUGGUCAAAUGGGAUAUACCAGCCCACGCUCCACAGAGUCGUCAACAACUCCCCUCGCUACCGUGUAUCUGUCGCCUUCUUCUACGAGUCGAACUUUGAUGCUGCGGUGGAGCCUGUGGAGUUCUGCCGGGAGAAAACGGGCGGCGUUGCCAAGUAUGAGAAGGUGGUGUACGGGGAGCACCUGGUGCAGAAAGUUCUCACCAACUUCGUCAUGUAA
rnacentral:rRNA from 1 species